rnacentral:rRNA from 1 species
GACGAGGGGUCCUAGCGUUGUUCGAAAUUAUUGGGCGUAAAGCGGGUGUAGGUGGCUCUGUAAGUCAGGAGUGAAAUCCCCGAGCUUAACUCGGGAAGUGCUUUUGAAACUGCAGAGCUUGAAUGUGGGAGAGGAUCGUGGAAUUCCAGGUGUAGUGGUGAAAUACGUAGAUAUCUGGAGGAACACCGGUGGCGAAGGCGGCGAUCUGGCCCAACAUUGACACUGAGACCCGAAAGCGUGGGGAUCAAACAGG